UAUUGGUUACUUCGCAAUUAUACUAUACGAACCCCGUCAGAACCGGAAGGUAGCAGCGGUAGUAUAUAUAUGAUGUGCCGAAGUUUUGCUAGUAGGG
rnacentral:SRP_RNA from 1 species